rnacentral:rRNA from 1 species
CAGGGAAACCGAUAUGACCGCAGUGCUUUGCACCAGGGUCACCGUGUUCAAGCGCGGGGAGUCAAACGGGCACGACCCGAAACCGGACGAUCUAGGCGUGGACAAGGUGAAGCGUGCCGAAAGGUGCGUGGAGGCCUGUUAGAGUUGGUGUCCUACAAUACCCUCUCGUGAUCUACGUCUAGGGGUGAAAGGCCCAUCGAGUCCGGAAACAGCUGGUUCCAACCGAAACAUGUCGAAGCAUGACCUCUGCCGAGGUAGUUCGUGGGGUAGAGCAACGGAUUGGGGGACCGCACUCCGAGAGGAGUGCGCCCCCCUGUCCAACUCCGAACCUACGAACGCCGUUUGACGCAGGGAGUCCGGUGCGCGGGGUAAGCCUGUGUACCGUGAGGGAGACAACCCAGAGCUGGGUUAAGGUCCCCAAGUGUGGACUAAGUGCGAUCGAAGGUGGUCUCAAGCCCUAGACAGCCGGGAGGUGAGCUUAGAAGCAGCUACCCUCUAAGAAAAGCGUAACAGCUUACCGGCCGAGGUUUGAGGCGCCCAAAAUGAUCGGGGCUCAAGUCCACCACCGAGACCUAGCGGCACUCUUUGUCGAGUGAUUCCGUAGGUUGGCGUUCUGUUCGGGCGGAAGCAUGGUCGAGAGAUCGUGUGGACCGUUCAGUAACGAAAAUCCUGGUCAUAGUAGCAGCGUUAGUCGGGUUAGAACCCCGACGGCCGAACGAGUAAGGGUUCCUCAGCAAUGCUGAUCAGCUGAGGGUUAGCCGGUCCUAAGUCAGCCCGUAAGUCGAAGCUGACAACAGGGAAAUAGGUUAAUAUUCCUAUGCCAGUGUGCACUCAAAGCCAACGCUUUGGGGCCGCCUGAGCUGGGCUUUCGCCCAGUCGAACUGUCAAAGUUCGUGGAAGCCGUAAUGGCACGAAGCGAGCGAACGGCAGGAUAGCGCAAGUCAGGUCAACCCAGAGCCCGUGAAAAGGCAAGCACACUGUCCGUACCGAGAUCCGACACAGGUACUCGUGGCGGCGAAAGCCAAGGUCUGUCGGGAGCAACCGACGUUAGGGAAUUCGGCAAGUUAGUCCCGUACGUUCGCAAUAAGGGAUGCCUGCCUCGCGAAGAGGCAGGUCGCAGUGACUCGGGCGCUCCGACUGUCUAGUAACAACAUAGGUGACCGCAAAUCCGUAAGGACUCGUACGGUCACUGAAUCCUGCCCAGUGCAGGUAUCUGAACACCCCGUACAAGGGGACGAAGGACCUGUUAACGGCGGGGGUAACUAUGACCCUCUUAAGGUAGCGUAGUACCUUGCCGCUUUAGUAGCGGCUUGCAUGAAUGGAUCAACGAGAGCGCCACUGUCCCAACGUUGGGCCCGGUGAACUGUACGUUCCAGUGCGGAGUCUGGAGACCCCCAAGGGGAAGCGAAGACCCUAUAGAGCUUUACUGCAGGCUGUCACUGAGACGUGGUCGCCAUUGUGCAGCAUAGGUAGGAGCCAGUACACAGGUACCCGCGCUAGCGGGCCACCGAGGCAGCAUUGAAAUACUACCCGAUGGUGACUGCGACUCUCACUCCUGGCGGAGGACACUGGUAGCCGGGCAGUUUGACUGGGGCGGUACGCGCUUGAAAAGAUAUCGAGCGCGCCCCAAGAUUUCCUCACUCGGGUCGGAGACCCGAGGAAGAGCGCAAGAGCAAAAGGAAGUCUGACAGUGUCCGGCACAACGACGGACGCUGACGCGAAAGCGUGGUCUAGCGAACCAAUUAGGCUGCUUGAUGCGGCCAAUUGCUGACAGAAAAGCUACCUUAGGGAUAACAGAGUCGUCACCCGCAAGAGCACAUAUCGACCGGGUGGCUUGCUACCUCGAUGUCGGUUCCCUCCAUCCUGCCCGUGCAGAAGCGGGCAAGGGUGAGGUUGUUCGCCUAUUAAAGGAGGUCGUGAGCUGGGUUUAGACCGUCGUGAGACAGGUCGGCUGCUAUCUAUUGGGGGUGUGCGGUAUCUGACGGGAACGAUCGUAUAGUACGAGAGGAACUACGAUUGGGUGCCACUGGUGUACCGGUUGUUCGAAAGAGCACGUGCCGGGCAGCCACGCACCACGGGGUAAGAGCUGAACGCAUCUAAGCUCGAAACCCACCUGGAAAAGAGAUACCAUCAAGGCCACUCGUAGAAGACGAGAUCGAUAGACUCGGGAUGUACGCGCCAAGGCAACGAGGCGUUGAGUCCGCGAGCACUAAUCGGCCAAGCC